CGGCGAACGGGUGAGUAAUGCUUGGGAAUCUGCCCAUUAGCGGGGAACAACCAGCCGAAAGGUUGGCUAAUACCGCAUACGCCCUACAGGGGAAAGCGGGGGAUCGUAAGACCUCGCGCUAAUGGAUGAGCCCAAGUCGGAUUAGCUUGUUGGUAGGGUAACGGCCUACCAAGGCGACAAUCCGUAGCUGGUCUGAGAGGACGACCAGCCACACCGGAACUGAGACACGGUCCGC
rnacentral:rRNA from 1 species